UACGUAGGGUGCGAGCGUUAAUCGGAAUUACUGGGCGUAAAGCGUGCGCAGGCGGUUUUGUAAGCCAGAUGUGAAAUCCCCGGGCUUAACCUGGGAAUGGCAUUUGGGACUGCAAGGCUCGAGUGCGGCAGAGGAGACUGGAAUUCCUGGUGUAGCGGUGAAAUGCGCAGAUAUCAAGAGGAACACCUGAGGCGAAGGCGGGUUGCUUGUCUGACACUGACGCUGAGGCGCGAAAGCCAGGGGAGCAAACGGG
rnacentral:rRNA from 1 species